rnacentral:rRNA from 1 species
AUUGAACGCUGGCGGCAUGCCUAACACAUGCAAGUCGAGCGGAUGAAGGGAGCUUGCUCCUGGAUUCAGCGUCGGACGGGUGAGUAAUGCCUAGGAAUCUGCCUGGUAGUGGGGGAUAACGUCCUGAAACGGGCGCUAAUACCGCAUACGUCCUGAUGGAGCAAGUUGGGGAUCUUCGGACCUCACGCUAUCAGAUGAGCCUAGGUCGGAUUAGCUAGUUGGUGGGGUAAAGGCCUACCAAGGCGACGAUCCGUAACUGGUCUGAGAGGAUGAUCAGUCACACUGGAACGGAGACACGGUCCAGACUACUACGGGAGGGAGCAGUGGGGAAUAUUGGACAAUGGGCGAAAGCCUGAUACAGCGAUGCCGAGUGUGUGAAGAAGGUCUUCGGAUUGUAAAGCAGUUUAAGUUGGGAGGAAGGGCAGUAAGUUAAUACCUUGCUGUUUUGACGUUAACAACAGAAUAAGCACCGGCUAACUUCGUG